rnacentral:rRNA from 1 species
ACUCCUGCGGGAGGCAGCAGUGGGGAAUAUUGGACAAUGGGCGCAAGCCUGAUCCAGCCAUGCCGCGUGAGUGAUGAAGGCCCUAGGGUUGUAAAGCUCUUUCACCGGAGAAGAUAAUGACGGUAUCCGGAGAAGAAGCCCCGGCUAACUUCGUGCCAGCAGCCGCGGUAAUACGAAGGGGGCUAGCGUUGUUCGGAAUUACUGGGCGUAAAGCGCACGUAGGCGGAUCGAUCAGUCAGGGGUGAAAUCCCAGGGCUCAACCCUGGAACUGCCUUUGAUACUGUCGAUCUGGAGUAUGGAAGAGGUGAGUGGAAUUCCGAGUGUAGAGGUGAAAUUCGUAGAUAUUCGGAGGAACACCAGUGGCGAAGGCGGCUCACUGGUCCAUUACUGACGCUGAGGUGCGAAAGCGUGGGGAGCAAACAGGAUUAGAAACCCCGGUAGUCCCAUGA